rnacentral:tRNA from 1 species
GGUUAGCUCAUCGGUAGAGCGCUUCGCUGAAGACGAAGACGUAAGAGGUUCGAAUCCUCUGCCGUCCA